CCUACGGGAGGCAGCAGUAGGGAAUAUUGCUCAAUGGGGGAAACCCUGAAGCAGCAACGCCGCGUGGAGGAUGAAGGUUUUCGGAUUGUAAACUCCUUUUGUUAGAGAAGAUAAUGACGGUAUCUAACGAAUAAGCACCGGCUAACUCCGGGCCAGCAGCCGCGGUAAUACGGCGGGUGCAAGCGUUACUCGGAAUCACUGGGCGUAAAGAGCGCGUAGGCGGGAUAGCAAGUCAGAUGUGAAAUCCUAUGGCUUAACCAUAGAACUGCAUUUGAAACUGUUAUUCUAGAGUAUGGGAGAGGUAGGUGGAAUGCGUGGUGUAGGGGUAAAAUCCGUAGAGAUCAAGAGGAAUACUCAUUGCGAAGGCGACCUGCUAGAGCAUAACUGACGCUGAUGCGCGAAAGCGUGGGGAGCGAACAGGAUUAGAUACCCGAGUAGUC
rnacentral:rRNA from 1 species